UCCCAAUUUGUUUCCAGUUUUGUAAUCAGGAGGGUAAGAAAAUUUUUGAAUUUCUUAGUUGGGGG
rnacentral:tRNA from 1 species